AACGAACGCUGGCGGCGUGCCUAACACAUGCAAGUCGCGCGAGAAAGUGGGGGCAACUCCACGAGUAAAGCGGCGCACGGGUGAGUAAUACGUAGGUAACCUACCUUCGAGACUGGGAUAACCUUCCGAAAGGAGGGCUAAUACCGGAUGAGACCACGGGGCUUCGGCUCUGAGGUCAAAGGUGGCCUCUGCUCGCAAGCUACCACUCGGAGAUGGGCCUGCGCACCAUUAGCUAGUUGGCGAGGUAACGGCUCACCAAGGCGAAGAUGGUUAGCUGAUCUGAGAGGAUGAUCAGCCACACUGGGACUGAGACACGGCCCAGACUCCUACGGGAGGCUG
rnacentral:rRNA from 1 species